UACGUAGGGUCCAGGCGUUAAUCGGAAUUAUUGGGCGUAAAGCGUGCGCAGGCGGUUUCUUAAGUCAGAUGUGAAAGCCCUGGGCUUAACCUGGGAACUGCGUUUGAAACUGGGAGACUUGAGUGUGGCAGAGGGGGGUGGAAUUCCACGUGUAGCAGUGAAAUGCGUAGAUAUGUGGAGGAACACCGAUUGCGAAGGCAGCCCCCUGGGUUAACACUGACGCUCAUGCACGAAAGCGUGGGGAGCAAACAGG
rnacentral:rRNA from 1 species